GAUCUCCAGCUAUAAUAUUGGCCAUCAGUCCCUACUCUCAUAUACAGAACCAGAAGCAGGCUCAGAAGCCUCAGAGAAAGCUGGCUGCUCUGAGAAGCAAUUCCCAUUGUUGCAUUCGCUAAAACUUCUGGGCCCCUGAGGUAUACAAGGGAGUGUCUGAGUUGUGACAGAAAGGCGUGGGUGUUAACCAUCACCAGAGCUGGAUCAGCACAGAAACAUGGAUGUGCUGUGGUGGCCGGGGCUGCAAUCCCGCAGCUGAAGAGGGAAAGCUGCCUUGUGAUGGUGGAGGGGCUUUUUCCUGUCAGAGGAACUCGUUUCUUGUGCCGUGAGCGAGGAUCUCCGCAGAGAAAGCAAGCUGAAAACGUCUUUGAGCAGCCUCUUCUGUUCUGCCCUCCUGGUGCCGCUUGAAAAUGAGAAGAAAAGGGUGUGGGGGGGUGGACGAUUAAAAAAAAUAAUAAAGAAAAGAGAAAUAACUUUAAAAAGGAAGACUCUUCCAGAGCCCAAACAAUCAGCGGGACAAUAGGAGAAUAGGGACAAUGAGGAUUGCAGCUCUGCUCCCGGCGGACGGGAAGCCCUCGGCGCUGGGCUCUGGGCUGGCCUGGGUGAUGAGCUGAAAAGCUCCCUGCCCACGCUGCACACAAAGCCUGGCCACAGGGCAGAGCUUUCAACAUCCUCAAAGGCAUCUAAUUGUUCAGGACAUACUGAGUAUCUGCACUUACAGAAAUCAAGCCUUGAGUGGAAGUCCCCUGAAAGCCAGGCACCGGGAAGCCAAGAUUAGUUUUCAGAAAGAAAUACAAUAGACCGAGCGAGUGCCCAGAAGAGGAACAGCAUGUUAACAUAUCUUAGAUAAACAGGAGCCAAGUUGUUACCCUGACAGAAAAAUGAGAGCCCAUCAAUGCAAUGGGGGAGAGUAAUAAAUUAAAAACCAGA